UCGACAGAGAGUUUUGUUCUUCUUGAAGUUCUUUAUCUCGUCACCGGAAUUCUCCUCUGUACUUGCCGGAAUCGGUUUUUCUCUCAGAUUAGGGUUUCAAUUUGGAGAUUUCGAGUAUCUAAGAUACAAUGGAGAAGAAGAUUGGUAAAACACUAACGACAAACGUUAUUGACUUAAUGGUUGACUUAAUGGUUGACUUUUCUGGGUAUCAAUUUGCCGAGUCAACAAAUACUUAGGGAAUAAAAGCGUGCGAGCAAUAGUUUGGUAUUUAAAUUGCCGGUUUCAAAUAGUUCGGGAAUUAAAUGCUUAUUUUUCCGUAGUUCGAAACAAAUUAUAGUUUUGAGGUUUAUUUUGACAAUAAUCUCUAAUAUAGGAGUCUUUUCAUUAAUUUCAAAAUAUCACCUGUGAAUCCAGUUUCUUCACCAAUCUCUCUCUUUUGGGUUCCGGACGAUCCCAAACGGGAGAGCUCGUCGGUGGCUACUCUCCUGCUCAUUUCGAAGGUACGUGAACAAUAAUUAAUUAAUUAUUUUGUUUUUUCAGUUGUAUUGGUAACUAAUCAAUCUCUCUGUUUUAGGACUUUCAGUGAAUCACUUUAAUGUGAUUUCUGUAUACUUUUGUUGCUUCUUGUAUGUUAUUUUUCUUUCAUAGUGUUAUUACAAAUUUACAAGUAAUGGGUUUAACCCUUUACAUAGACUGAUUCAGUUUGUGAAUUGCUUGCUUGUGAAAUGUAGAUGGAUAUUGUCAGAAGAGAGAAUUAGCCAAUGGAAUGGUCCAGUUUCCCCUACAAUGCUUCUCUUAGGACCAGACUUUGAACUUAGAAGCGCUUAUUAUGUUGCUAAGUGGACAUCAAAGUAAUUUGUGUUUUAGAGUGUGUUUAGUAGUAAUCAAAGAUAACCAGAGUAAGAUUAGAGAGAUUAGGAGAAUAAAGAGAUUUUAGAGAGAGAAUAGAGAGAUAGACUCAAAACUCCAUUGAUUCAUACAAUCUGAGAGUUUACAAGAUAAAAUAGAGAUGCAAGCUUGUCUAGGUUCAAUGUAUCUAAAAACAGAAGCAUGUGAGGUCAAAGGCAAUAUUUGAAUUCAGCCAAUGAGAAGAUACACAUGCUUUGGCAUCUUUCCAGCAUGUGCCAGUCUGUCCAGACAUGUAUCUCUCUUCCUGCACUUCGUUGCACCUAGCUGCACUUUACUACACUUCAUAAAUUUCACUGCACUUCUCUCAACAAGCACCUCUCAUCUCAACAAACACUUCAUUGAACCCCAAAACUUCAUGUCUUCACUUCUCAGUCUUCAUCUCAACACAAAGUGCUGGAACCGUGAUCGCUUCGAGAGAGUUCAUGGAGACUGCAAAGACUGUGGUGUUGAAAGGACACAAGAACGCUAUAUUCGAUCUUCACUGGAUUAGUGAUGGCUCACAGGUUGUUUCAGCCAGUCCUGAUGAAAACCUUUAAAGCUUGGGGACAGGGACACAAGUUAAGAAAAUGGCUGAACAUUCCUCAUUUGUGAAUUCUUCCUGUACUUCACGUACGUAGAGGGUUACCUCUUAUAGUAAGUGGGUCUGAUGAUGGAACUGCAAAGCUUUGGGACAUGCGUCAGAGAGGAGUCAUACAAGCAUUCCCUGACAAAUACCAAAUCACAGCCGUGAGUUUCUCAGAUGCAGCUGAUAACUGGUAGGAGCCUUAAGUCCAGACGGGUCUUAUCUUCUCACUAAUGCUAUGGACUGUAAGCUCUGUGUAUGGGUUAUGGGUUAUGUGUCCUUGUGGAAAUGUGUGUGGUCACCGGAUGGUAGUAAAAUGGUUCAUGUAUGGGUUAUGUAUAAGCUCCCAGGUCACAAUGUUUCUGUCAGUGAGUUUGUAGUAGUGAUAAACUGAUUUAUCAAGGUGAGAUUCUGUUCCCCAAAUCAUUUAAAACAGAGACACCAACCUUUGAUCAUAAUCAUGUUUUAAGUUAAACAGAGACACCAACCUUUGAUCAUAAUUCAUAUCUCUCAUGAUCAUAAUCAUGUUUUAAGUUAGAUUGAGACUUAGUGUUCAUAAGCUUGCUAUGGUUGUUGUCAAUUUCAUCUUACACACUCUUUUUGUAUUCAGAUUGAAAUAAUGUUUCUUUCUUCCCUCUUACAUCUAUAUCUUUGUUGAGGAUUUGAAGUAGCUCUAACAUCUUGUUUUUGCAUAAUCUAUAGAUGGUCAAGCUCAUCUUUCUUUAACACAGUAUCCUGCAUUAUCAGUUGGUUACUGUUUGUUUUCUCUCUCUAGUUUAUUUAGGUAAAUAUUAUAUAAUCUUAAAAUAUGGUUUAUUUAGGAUAUCUAGCACAAUAUCUUAAUACAUAGAAAUAUUUUAUGAGUUGAGAAAACUGAAGAUGGAUUUUUUCAUGAAUUGCUUCCAAGGCAAAGUCAAUGUUCGUUUUCAACUGCUGUUGGUUAAGGGCUGAAAGCUAAGGCUUCACGGUAGAUUAAAUCCUUAAUCUCCUCCUCUGUGAAUGGCUGUUCCUCUAAAUCAAAGUUGAAGGGCGUCAUGCACACUGGUUCAUCAGUGAAGCCGUGCAUCUCUCGGGGAUAUGGAUGAUCAAGCGCGUCUUCAACUGCAAAUAUGGCAAAGAAAAUGGUGAUAAGGAGUCUAAAUCAAAACUUCAAUGUAGCUAAAGAAGAGACAUAAACGUAUCUACUAACCUGAGAUUCUUUGUCUAGGGUCAAAUUUUAGCAUCUUCAUUAUCAAGUCAAGAGCAGGGUAAGGCACGUUUGGGAAUACCACAAAGAAUGAUUGGCGAUCAUGAUAAGGUAGCUGUCUUAAGUAUAGCUUAGCAUUUUCACUCAAUGAUCCAGUUCUUCUUCUGAUGGAGAGCCUAGGAGCUGCAAAUCAAAGUGUAAAUUUUAAGUUAAAAAGAUUAGUAAAAAGGAUCACUAAAAAAGAUUUAAUGUAACUUUUUAUUACCUCCAAGACCAAACGAAGCUGAUGAGCAUGAUCAUUACCGCGGAAGACCAGUUUGCGAGUCAGCAACUCCAAGAAGAUGCAGCCAACAGACCAGACAUCUAUAGCUGAGGUGUACACGGAUGAGUUCAAGAGAAGCUCAGGAGCACGGUACCACCUUGUGACAACAUACUCAGUCAUUGCAUUAUUCUCUGAAGCACCACGAGCAAGUCCGAAAUCACAUAUCUUCAGUUCACAGUUCGCGUUCACGAGGAGGUUGGCCGGUUUUAAAUCUCUAUGUAUCACAUUGGCUGCGUGAAUGUACUUUAAUCCACGCAGGAUUUGGUACAAGAAAAACUGCGUUACAAAAUAACAAGAAAAAAUGAUUACUUUAGAAAUGAUAGAAGUUUUAAGAAAAAAAUCAAACUCAAACCUUGUAAUGAAGUGGUUCUAGUUCUUGAUUGGAUGUUAUGACUUUAUGAAGGUCAUACUCCAUCAACUCAUUUACAAUGUAUACAUCUUCAAAAGCAUCUCUCCGAGGAGGCAAUAUUAGGUCUCUGAUUCCAAUAAUCUAUAGAAAAAUGGUAUCUAUAUAUAUAAAAAUAUGUUUGCCUCCUCCUGUACUGUCACAGGAUCUAGGUCAGAAAGUCGUUGCCUGAGGAGACGACACGUGUCCUUUUCAUCAAAACGUACAGCUUCAUUUAACUUAGAAUCUUGGGAAGGCGUUUAGGGAUUGGGAUCUGUGGGGACCGUUUUUCUUCAAGCCAGCCAAAUCGCCCUCGAGGUCCAAACCCUGCUUUUUCAGAAAAUUUCCUCUGUUAAAUAUCUCUCAUACUCUUUGAUAAUGGCUUCUUUCGCAGAUUCAUCUAUCUGAAUUGAAGGCUGGACAGUGCAGGUAGCGUGUUGAGGCAAGGCUUUCGCGUUUCUGGGAAUCCCGAAAGGAAGUGAUUUGAGGGAGAAAGGGAUGAGAAUUCUCCUCAAGAAGGUAUGGUCUGUGGUGGAGCUUUGUCGUACGGAAGUUUCGAUCUACAAGGUUCCAUGAGAGUUCAUCAUCACAACCCCAAUUCCAGACCGCUUGAAAGUCUUUCCUUUACCGUGGUUACAGCUCAAACAUGUAAUCACAACAUGCCAUUGACUGAGCAACAUAAAGGAGAAAGAGAGAAUAACUCAGUGAGUUAUGAUCAUGAACCAAGUUUUAGUGAGGAAGGUGGUGAUGGUCACAACGAAUCCAUCAGCUAAAAAGUCUCCAUGGCAGUGAUGAAGUUGACUGAUAAGAUGUUGAAGUUUCUGAUAACCGACGUGCCUUAUAUAGGUGAUGAUUUGAGUAUGGAUGGUGGUAGUAGAAGAAAGUUUGCGGCUUUACAGAGAAAGAGCAAAUGGAAAUUUGUUUUUGAAGUUCUGUUUGAGAGAGGUUAUCAUGUCUCGCCUCAGCAGUGUGAGGAUAAGUUUAAUGAUUUGAAUAAGCGGUUUAAGAAGCUUAAUGACAAUCGAUUGAAUCUGCAUCAUGACCUUGCUCUGCAGCAUUCGGUAAAGCUAGCGUUUAGAAACAUAGAUGAUCAAGAGAAUGAUGAUUUUAGGAAUCAUUAACUUGAAAGACGCACAAAUAGAAAAAAUAGACAAUAUCUGAUUUGUUUAUUGUUUUGGGCCUUUUGGCUCAUCAGACCCGAACAUUAUCUCAUCUUUGGCAAUCAAGAAUCUACUUUGCAACAAUAGUAAUCAGAUUAACACAUCUCAGGUUCUCUCCAUUUUUCUCAUCAAUAAUGAAUGUUCUUAUUUUGUCUGCUUUUGGGUUUGCUGAUGUACAUAUGGUUGAAAUUUUUUACAAAGCUUUAAAAUUUAAGCGAUUCUCAAAAGUCUCUCUGUACUUGGAUUUAAGAGUGUUGCUCGCAUUCAAAACAUCAAAAAAAAAAUCAUGUUUCUUUUUUACUUAUCUUUCCACGUGCCAAUCUUAGUAAUCUUGAACCCUUUUAUUUGCAAUACCACUCAUAUCUCUUUCCUUUCAAAUACUAAUUGAAGUCCAAACAAAAUAAAUGGAAUUUGAGAAAAGAGAUUUAUCCUUAAGAUUAUUUUUCAAAAACUUUAUGGAAGUAAAUAUCCAUUCAUGUUCUCAACCACUACAAAUACCACCAACGCCAAAUAUAUUUUUAUCAAGUGCACAAAAACUAUAAUAUAUUUAAAAUUACAAUAGAUACAUUAGUUAAAUGAAAAUAUUAUUUUUAAAAAUAUUAUGGAUGCAUAUAUAAAUAUUAAGAGAAAUGUAUAAAAUGAAAUAAAAGUAACAAUGACUUGAAGAAAAAAAAUGUAUAAGACUGAAAAUAUUUAUGAUUUGUGGUCUAAGAUAUAUUCAACUUAUUGUCCUAAUCAAGGUAGAAUAAACUUUGGAUAAUAUUUUUUAUAAAAUAUAUAUACAUGAAAAUAUUUUUAAUGGUAGAGUCUAUUUAUAAUUUCCAAUAAUCCGCCAAGUAAAGAAAAAGAAAACAUACAUGUAUAUGAAAAAAGAAACAUGCAUGUAUAUAACCAUGAAAAAAGAAAACUACUUUAAAUAACUUAAUCAAAAACAACAAACACAUUCAACUAAACACAGCAAUUGCUAAACGCAAUGAACAUCACAACCCAGUGGCGGAGCCACAUGCAUCAAGAUGGGGGCCACUGAACCCAACAAAACUUUGAAAAUUAGUGUAUGUUAUUGAAUUUUAAUCUGUAUGCCCCCAUUCA